rnacentral:rRNA from 1 species
AUGUAUGUUAUGAGUGUUUUCCGGCUGCAGGCUUCUGUGUGUGAUGAUAUAACACGGAUGAUGAGACAGUACUGGUGGGGAGUUGAACAAGGCAAGAGGAAAAUGGCUUGGCUUAGUUGGGAGAAAAUGAUUCUGCCCAAGGACAUGGGAGGCAUGGGAUUCAGAGAUAUGAGGGCAUUUAACCAGGCAUUACUUGCCAAGCAAGCCUGGAGACUGCUUGAUAGCCCGGACAGUUUAUGUGCGCGCCUACUCCGGGCUAAAUAUUACCCCAAUGGAAAUCUGCUCGAUACAGUCUUCCCCUCUAGCUCGUCUGCAGUGUGGAAGGAAAUCAUGUAUGGACUUGAGCUGUUG